rnacentral:rRNA from 1 species
GAUGAACGCUAGCGGCAGGCCUAACACAUGCAAGUCAGGGGUAACAUAGAAAUGCUUGCUUUUCUGAUGACGACCGGCGCACGGGUGCGUAACGCGUAUACAACCUACCUUUUAGCGGGGAAUAGCCCAGGGAAACUUGGAUUAAUGCCCCAUAGUAUAUAGACUUCUCCUGAAGUUUAUAUUAAACAUUUAUGGCUAUUAGAUGGGUAUGCGUCCUAUUAGUUAGUUGGUAAGGUAACGGCUUACCAAGGCAGCGAUAGGUAGGGGUCCUGAGAGGGAGAUCCCCACACUGGUACUGAGACACGGACCAGACUCCUACGGGAGGCAGCAGUGAGGAAUAUUGGACAAUGGGCGAGAGCCUGAUCCAGCCAUGCCGCGUGCAGGAAGACUGCCCUAUGGGUUGUAAACUGCUUUUACAGAGGAAGAACCACCCCCACGUGUGGGGGAUUGACGGUACUCUGCGAAUAAGGAUCGGCUAACUCCGUG